rnacentral:misc_RNA from 1 species
CUUUCUUCUCCAUAUUUUAUUUCAAAUCCCUAGCCUUUCAUUUCCAUUCUCUAACUAUAUAUUUUGGCUUUCGAAGACACUUUAUAUGCUUUCUUGAACCCUUUUCUUGUUUUGCCUUCCAAAACACACAGACAACAACAGCAAAAGAAGAGAAUUUAAAUGGGGCUACGUGACAUUGGAGCAACUCUGCCUCCUGGGUUUAGGUUCUGUCCCAGUGAUGAGGAACUGGUCUGCCAUUAUCUUUACAAAAAGAUCACAAAUGAAGAGGUUUUGAAGGGUACUUUGGUUGAAAUUGACUUGCAUACAUGUGAGCCAUGGCAGCUUCCUGAGCUGGCAAAGCUCAAUGCGAACGAGUGGUACUUCUUCAGCUUCAGAGACCGGAAGUAUGCGACCGGUUUCCGGACCAAUCGUGCUACGACAUCUGGAUACUGGAAGGCUACAGGGAAAGAUCGCACGAUUCUGGACCCAACGACUCGUGAGAUUGUAGGGAUGAGAAAGACCUUAGUGUUCUACAGGAACAGAGCUCCCAAUGGAAUCAAGACUGGUUGGAUCAUGCACGAAUUUCGUCUUGAGACCCCGCAUAUGCCUCCAAAGGAGGAUUGGGUGUUGUGUAGAGUAUUCCACAAAAGCAAGGGAGAAAACAGCAGCAAAUUUGAUCAACAAUUCAUGUUUGAGACCACAGCUAGUCAUAAUAAUAGCAUCAAUAAUGGUCCAUUGAGUAAUUUAGGAGCUUCUCCUCUAACUGAUCAGCACCAGGGUCUGCCUUGUGGGUAUCAUCAUCAGCAAAUCACCUCAUUAUCAUCAUCAUCAACAACCCCAACCCAUCAAAUAAGUUAUGACAAAAGCUCUCUGCUAAACCUUCUUCAGCUUUCCCAGGAAAGGAUCACCAACCCUUUGACAACGACGACUACUACCACUGAUCUCAGCUCCAAAGGGGAUGAUGAUUAUGAAUUCGUCUGGGAGGACAUGAACUUGGAAGAAACUAGCCUGGUAGAUGGAGGAGCUUCAAGCUUGGAGAACAUGAGAUUUGAAAUGGGUAACAGCAUGGUUUUCCUAUGAAAUACUAAUUAAUUAUGUAUUUACUUAAUUAAAAAGAGGAAAAAAAUAGAUAUAUAUAAAUAUCCAUUUGUUGAUUUAUAAUGUAUUUGUGGUGUUUGGAUUUGAGGAACAAUUCAAGGUUUGAUUGGAUCAAAUGUUGUUAAUUAGGAAUUAAUUAAGAUUGUAUUAGUAGUUCUUCUCUAUAUUAUUUAUGGUUAAUUAGGGUUUAUUUAUUUUUUGUAUACAAUAUUUGGCAUCUGUACAAAAUUAUAUUAGUA